GAUGAACGCUGGCGGCGUGCCUAAUACAUGCAAGUCGAGCGAACAGACGAGGAGCUUGCUCCUCUGACGUUAGCGGCGGACGGGUGAGUAACACGUGGAUAACCUACCUAUAAGACUGGGAUAACUUCGGGAAACCGGAGCUAAUACCGGAUAAUAUAUUGAGCCGCAUGGUUCAAUAGUGAAAGACGGUUUUGCUGUCACUUAUAGAUGGAUCCGCGCCGCAUUAGCUAGUUGGUAAGGUAACGGCUUACCAAGGCGACGAUGCGUAGCCGACCUGAGAGGGUGAUCGGCCGCACUGGAACUGAGACACGGUCCAGACUCCUACGGGAGGCAGCAGUAGGGAAUCUUCCGCAAUGGGCGAAAGCCUGACGGAGCAACGCCGCGUGAGUGAUGAAGGUCUUCGGAUCGUAAAACUCUGUUAUUAGGGAAGAACAAAUGUGUAAGUAACUAUGCACGUCUUGACGGUACCUAAUCAGAAAGCCACGGCUAACUACGUG
rnacentral:rRNA from 1 species